rnacentral:lncRNA from 1 species
UGCAAUCUUUAUAAAACAUUCUUUGGGAUUGUGGUACUAAGUCCGGAAACUAAAACAUUCGGUUUUAUUUGUCAAGUGUUGGAUAGCGUUAGCAAAUAUAUUGGUAAACAAAUACAUAACGAAUAUAAAUUGAUUGAUUUUAAGCCAUUUGAUUCGGGUCUUUAAAUCAAAUUAGCACCACCCACUAUUUUUGGCAAAUUCCAUAUCCCUCAUUAGAAUUCGAGAGUUUUGGAGGAAACUCCUAGUAGGUUAUGGGAAGCUCACUAUUACCAAGCCCACCUCAGAAGAACUCCAUAUUGGCUAGCAACAAUAAUAAUGAGAUAGUACGCUUACUCAUUUGCAACUAAUGCAAGUACCCAUCUUAUUUGGCCUCUAG